rnacentral:lncRNA from 1 species
AUUAAAUCUAUUUUUUUUUUAAGGGAAGGGGGAUUUGGCUCUUGUUUCAUGUUAGAAAUGCACAUUGGAGUGACUAAUAGACCCUUGGUUUAUCCCCAGAAUCGACGCAUACUGAAACAUGCUUGAAAUAUGCUUUUAUACUUUUUGAUUUUGCAAAGGAUGCAAUGGGAUAGAGGGGAAGGAGAAGGAAAAAGAUUAAAAAUCAGUUUAGUAUUUCUCUUGCAAUCCAUUCGGAGGAGUUCCCACUGAGACUUCGUAUGCCUCCCCCUCUCUGCAGCCAUAGCUAAUAAGAUCUAAGAGGAAAAAUAAGUAGUAACACUGGGUAGCCUGUUUUGACUCUCACGUACGCUAUUUGGAAAUUAAAGCACACUUAUG